rnacentral:rRNA from 1 species
CCUACGGGAGGCAGCAGUGGGGAAUAUUGGGCAAUGGGCGCAAGCCUGACCCAGCAACGCCGCGUGAAGGAAGAAGGCUUUCGGGUUGUAAACUUCUUUUGUCAGGGACGAAGCAAGUGACGGUACCUGACGAAUAAGCCACGGCUAACUACGUGCCAGCAGCCGCGGUAAUACGUAGGUGGCAAGCGUUAUCCGGAUUUAUUGGGUGUAAAGGGCGUGUAGGCGGGAAUGCAAGUCAGAUGUGAAAACUAUGGGCUCAACCCAUAGCCUGCAUUUGAAACUGUAUUUCUUUAGUGCUGGAGAGGCAAUCGGAAUUCCGGGUGGAGCGGGGAAAUGCGUAGAUAUACGGAGGAACACCAGUGGCGAAGGCGGAUUGCUGGACAGUAACUGACGCUGAUGCACGAAAGCGUGGGUAUCAAACAGGAUUAGAUACCCCAGUAGUC